AGGGGGAGCCCGAGGUCGAGGAACCGCGCGACGAAGCGGCGCACGGAGGCGAGCGAGCUGAGGUCGAGCGGCAGCACGGCGACGUCGGCGCCCGGGCACUCGGCGCGCACCCGCGCGCGGGCCUCCUCGGCGGCCUUGAGGCUCCGCGCCGGCAGCACCAGCCGCGCGCCGCGCCCGGCCAGCACCCGCGCCGUCUCCGCGCCGAUCCCCGACGUGGCGCCCGUGAUGAUGGCGGUGACGUGGCGCAGGUCGCCGGCCGCGGCCUCCUCGGCGGUCGUCCGCGAGCCGAAGCCGCUCGGCCCCGCCGUGCCGGCCAGGUACCGCAGCGAGGCCAGCAUGGUCGUUGGGCCGGCCGAUCUGAUCGGCCGGUGGCUCGAUCGGUGCUAGCCGCUGAUGGUGGCGACGACGGUGCCUCGAUCGCCGCG
rnacentral:misc_RNA from 1 species